GAUGAACGCUAGCGGCAGGCUUAAUACAUGCAAGUCGAGGGGCAGCAGGGUGUAGCAAUACAUCGCUGGCGACCGGCAAACGGGUGCGGAACACGUACGCAACCUUCCUUCAAGUGGGGAAUAGCCCGGGGAAACCCGGAUUAAUACCCCGUAACAUUAUGAGGUGGCAUUACCUUAUAAUUAAAGCUCCGGCGCUUGAA
rnacentral:rRNA from 1 species